rnacentral:tRNA from 1 species
AGGCGCUGAGCGGCUGGGCACGGGCGGGGCUGCUGGCCCUGCUGGCGGCGCUGGCGGUCGUGCCGCUGCGGUACCUGC